GAUGAACGCUGGCGGCGUGCCUAAUACAUGCAAGUCGAGCGAAUGGAUUAAGAGCUUGCUCUUAUGAAGUUAGCGGCGGACGGGUGAGUAACACGUGGGUAACCUGCCCAUAAGACUGGGAUAACUCCGGGAAACCGGGGCUAAUACCGGAUAAUAUUUUGAACUGCAUGGUUCAAAAUUGAAAGGCGGCUUCGGCUGUCACUUAUGGAUGGACCCGCGUCGCAUUAGCUAGUCGGUGAGGUAACGGCUCACCAAGGCAACGAUGCGUAGCCGGCCUGGGAGGGGGAUCGGCCACACUGGGACUGAAACACGGCCCAGACUCCUACGGGAGGCAGCAGUAGGGAAUCUUCCGCAAUGGACGAAAGUCUGACGGAGCAACGCCGCGUGAGUGAUGAAGGCUUUCGGGUCGUAAAACUCUGUUGUUAGGGAAGAACAAGUGCCAGUUGAAUAAGCUGGCACCUUGACGGUACCUAGCCAGAAAGCCACGGCUAACUACGUGCCAGCCGCCGCCGUAA
rnacentral:rRNA from 1 species